UGAUCCUGGCUCAGAACGAACGCUGGCGGCAGGCUUAACACAUGCAAGUCGAGCGCCCCGCAAGGGGAGCGGCAGACGGGUGAGUAACGCGUGGGAAUCUACCCUUUUCUACGGAAUAACGCAUGGAAACGUGUGCUAAUACCGUAUGAGCCCUUCGGGGGAAAGAUUUAUCGGGAAAGGAUGAGCCCGCGUUGGAUUAGCUAGUUGGUGGGGUAAAGGCCUACCAAGGCGACGAUCCAUAGCUGGUCUGAGAGGAUGAUCAGCCACAUUGGGACUGAGACACGGCCCAAACUCCUACGGGAGGCAGCAGUGGGGAAUAUUGGACAAUGGGCGCAAGCCUGAUCCAGCCAUGCCGCGUGAGUGAUGAAGGCCCUAG
rnacentral:rRNA from 1 species